rnacentral:rRNA from 1 species
AGUGAACGCUGGCGGUAGGCCUAACACAUGCAAGUCGAACGGCAGCACAGUAAGAGCUUGCUCUUACGGGUGGCGAGUGGCGGACGGGUGAGGAAUACAUCGGAAUCUACUUUUUCGUGGGGGAUAACGUAGGGAAACUUACGCUAAUACCGCAUACGACCUACGGGUGAAAGCAGGGGAUCUUCGGACCUUGCGCGAUUGAAUGAGCCGACGUCGGAUUAGCUAGUUGGCGGGGUAAAGGCCCACCUAGGCGACGAUCCGUAGCUGGUCUGAGAGGAUGAUCAGCCACACUGGAACUGAGACACGGUCCAGACUCCUACGGGAGGCAGCAGUGGGGAAUAUUGGAGAAUGGGCGAAAGCCUGAUCCAGCCAUACCGCGUGGGUGAAGAAGGCCUUCGGGUUGUAAAGCCCUUUUGUUGGGAAAGAAAAGCAGCAGGUUAAUACCCCGCUGUUCUGACGGUACCCAAAGAAUAAGCACCGGCUAACUUCGUG